GCACAAAUUUUGAAAAUUUGCCAUUAUGGGAGAAAUAACGAUCAAUUUAAAUAAGUCUCCAAAACCCAACUUACGCCGAUGAUCUUUUAUAUGUGUAUGUGUUGUGUGGGUUUUGGGGUGGGGCAAGUUAAUAUGCCUUCUUCUUCUUGACAGAGAAAAGUUUAGUACACCGUGGAAGACCGGCAGGAAAAGACCUAUUUUUCCGUGCGAGUCGGACGUACCAGUUGGGGCGAAAUCCCCCUGGGGCCCAGUGGCCAUCUUGUGAAGUGUGCCACCCGUGCAGUGGAAGAGAUACGCCGCCUGCCGCGGUGAGAAAUUAGAAGGACGGAAGGAUUUGCUGCAAUUGGCGUCCAGUGGCAGCUACCGUGCCACUGCACACUCCCCGUCAAAUUUGGGAGUUCCGCCGAGGCGAGGGAUUUCAUCCGGAGCCUCUCGUAAUCCACCACUUGUGACACGACUCACUCCCUGACAAUUCGGGAGUUCUGCGGAGUUAGAAGCGCAGCAGAAGCAGCAGUGACUCACCAUCGGUGACGACAUCCUCCCCGUCAAUUUAGGGAGUUCCGCCAAGGCGAGGGAUUUUAUCCGGAGCCUUCCGUGACCCACAACUUGUGGCACGACUCACUCUCAGGCAAUUCAGAGAGUGCGGCGGAGUUGAAGAGCAUCAGAGGCAGUGGUGAUUCACCAACCAUCAAGGCACCCUCCCAGUCACUAUAGGGAGCGCUGCCAAGGCGAGGGAUUUCAUCCGGAGCCUUUCGUGACCUGCAAUUCGUGUCACGACAUUCUCCCUGAGAAUUCGGGAGUUCAGCAGAGGUGGAAGAGCGUCUGGGACGACAGUGAUUCAUCACCCAGAGGGCUCACUCCCCGUGGAAUUGGAGAGUCUCACCGAGCCGAAGAAGUUCUACUCGGGCAUCUCAUGGUACAGCAGAGCAUCUUGACUACAAGAGACGUCGCCCAGAUGAUGUGAAGAAGGACCCGAUUUUGUAGUGAGUGGCUGAAUAAAUCGUCCCCGUUUGAGGACUAAGAGGAAAAAGGAUUUCUAUAAAUGGCGCCCAACCAUCGGUGGAACCAGAGAAAAGUUUAGUACACCGUGGAAGACCGGCAGGAAAAGACCUAUUUUUCCGUGCGAGUCGGACGUACCAGUUGGGGCGAAAUCCCCCUGGGGCCCAGUGGCCAUCUUGUGAAGUGUGCCACCCGUGCAGUGGAAGAGAUACGCCGCCUGCCGCGGUGAGAAAUUAGAAGGACGGAAGGAUUUGCUGCAAUUGGCGUCCAGUGGCAGCUACCGUGCCACUGCACACUCCCCGUCAAAUUUGGGAGUUCCGCCGAGGCGAGGGAUUUCAUCCGGAGCCUCUCGUAAUCCACCACUUGUGACACGACUCACUCCCUGACAAUUCGGGAGUUCUGCGGAGUUAGAAGCGCAGCAGAAGCAGCAGUGACUCACCAUCGGUGACGACAUCCUCCCCGUCAAUUUAGGGAGUUCCGCCAAGGCGAGGGAUUUUAUCCGGAGCCUUCCGUGACCCACAACUUGUGGCACGACUCACUCUCAGGCAAUUCAGAGAGUGCGGCGGAGUUGAAGAGCAUCAGAGGCAGUGGUGAUUCACCAACCAUCAAGGCACCCUCCCAGUCACUAUAGGGAGCGCUGCCAAGGCGAGGGAUUUCAUCCGGAGCCUUUCGUGACCUGCAAUUCGUGUCACGACAUUCUCCCUGAGAAUUCGGGAGUUCAGCAGAGGUGGAAGAGCGUCUGGGACGACAGUGAUUCAUCACCCAGAGGGCUCACUCCCCGUGGAAUUGGAGAGUCUCACCGAGCCGAAGAAGUUCUACUCGGGCAUCUCAUGGUACAGCAGAGCAUCUUGACUACAAGAGACGUCGCCCAGAUGAUGUGAAGAAGGACCCGAUUUUGUAGUGAGUGGCUGAAUAAAUCGUCCCCGUUUGAGGACUAAGAGGAAAAA